GGUGAGACAAUGUCAAAAAUUUAUUUUUAUUUUGCUUUUUAUGUAUAUCAAUAUUUUUCACUCAUACCUAUACAAAAUAGAUUCUUUAUUGGUAUAGGUUGGAAGAAUAUUUUAAAACUACUCAGAAAUUUAUUCUAUUCUAGACUUAACUAUUUAUUGAAUUUCUUUAAUAAUUGAAUCUUUCGUAUUUCAAAAAUUCUCUAGAUCAUUAAUCAAUCAUUGAUUAAAUUACUUGAUUAACUUCAAUCAAGAUGAAAUCAGGUACAUAAAACUAAUUGUUACUAGACUUGAGGACUUAAUUAAUU
rnacentral:lncRNA from 1 species